ACCGAAUGCAAGCCAAGCUUCGCGAACCUCCCGCUACCCCGGCCCUCCCCCGCUACCCCGCCCCCCCCCACCGCCCAUGCACACCUUGCCUCGUUGCACACGCCACCACACUGCCACCAUUGCUCUGCUCCGUCCGUCCGGAGUGACAGGAGUCGGCGGCGGCCGAUGCCGCGGCCGGCUUUACGAGGGGCGCGGCAGUGCUCAUCCGUCGGACGGGGAAGCGUCAGCAGCAGCGGGAACCGCGCCUGUGGGAGCACUUGCGGGCGAACUGGGCGGUCGCCGAGUUGGAAUUGGUGCGGGGGGACUCCGCUUGGAGCGGAGGGGUUUUUCUGUGGGGCCCGCUGGGAUCUGAGCGCCAGCAUAGGUGGGGCUACAAGAGAGUUGCAGAUGCUUAGAGCAGAGGGUGCUGUCUGUGGGGCCCGCUGGGAUCUGAGUGCCAGCAUAGGUGGGGCUACACGAGAGGGGCAGCUGCCGGUACGCUGGCGAGUCUUGAGCUGUCGGUAUUAGGAGGGAUUGGUGUGGGGGGUGGUCUCUGCCCGGCAACUAGGAAUGGCCGGGCAGACCCGUGCUGGUUAUUAGGCGCCGUAGAAAUUAGACGGCCGCGGGGCUGGGGCCAAGGGAAGCGGCGUGCGACUGUGUUUAGGCACGCCGCCCAAGUAAGGGCACAGCCGCUUACUCCCCAUAUCCAUUUGCCCUCCCCGGGUGAUGAACGUUUGCAAACUUGAGCAAGACGGUGAUCAUGACUUGCAUUGCGGUAUGUGGAAUGCUGUAAAUGGUGGGUGAUUGUUUCGUUUCCGAAGCCUGCCCUCAGCAGCCCUCCAUCUCAAAGGGCGGUUUUAAGUGGAGCUUCUAGUCAACUUGAACGGAACUUAAGACAGGUUUUGAAGGAGGGAAGCGGAGAAAUAGGCUGGCGAGGACGCGCAUGCUUGGUAGGCGAAGGCCGAGGAGAGAAGGGCGGGGGAACCGCCGUGUGUCGGAAGAUGGGCCCCAAUGCGUGAACGUGGCUCGAAAGACGGACUGUUUUUGGUUGCAUCGGUAUCGUGCGAGCUAUUAUUUACUUUACUUUGCGUUUUGGCGUACUAGCCGUGAACGGCUCGGGAGCCGAGGGCUAGUUUGUCUUUUCCCACCCGCCCACCCUACUUGAUUAUAAGCUUAUGGAGGCUUUGCUACCUAGCGCGGUUUUGAGUCACUCUUGUGUUUUUCGUCCCGGGGGGUGGUCUCUGCCCGGCAACUAGGAAUGGCCGGGCAGACCCGUGCUGGUUAUUAGGCGCCGUAGAAAUUAGACGGCCGCGGGGCUGGGGCCAAGGGAAGCGGCGUGCGACUGUGUUUAGGCACGCCGCCCAAGUAAGGGCACAGCCGCUUACUCCCCAUAUCCAUUUGCCCUCCCCGGGUGAUGAACGUUUGCAAACUUGAGCAAGACGGUGAUCAUGACUUGCAUUGCGGUAUGUGGAAUGCUGUAAAUGGUGGGUGAUUGUUUCGUUUCCGAAGCCUGCCCUCAGCAGCCCUCCAUCUCAAAC
rnacentral:lncRNA from 1 species